rnacentral:tRNA from 1 species
ACGCAGGUGGCUCAUUCGGUUAAGCAUCCGACUUUGGAUCGGGUAAUGAUUUCAUGGUUCGUGGGUUCAAACCCCACAUUGGGCU